rnacentral:lncRNA from 1 species
GGAAUGUGGGUUUAAUCCAGGGAAUUCUGUUUAACCCAGGGAAUUGUAUUUAACCCAGGAAUUAUGUUUAACCCCAGGAGUGGCUACACAAUCCAGGGAAUGGCUGUUCAGCCCAGGGAACGUGGGUUUAAUCCAGGAAUUCUGUUUAACCAGGCUGAUCCCACAGCAUGGCUGCAGAACCCAGGUCUGGUGCUUUCCCCCCUGCCUCUCACCGGGGCUACAAGCAGGCAGGGAAAAUCCAGUUCCCACCCAGGUGUCCCCAGGUGCCCAGCUGUGGGUCACACCCGUGUCCAAACCCCAGCAGCCCCUAAAAAACAAACGCUGGGGGUGUCCCGUGUCCUGCCCAGGGCCAUCCCCACGGACAUCCCACCUCCCUGGCUGUGACCUUCACACCAGGCAAACCCUUUCUGCCACACCCCAGUCCCAGCUGGCACCACCUCCCCUCCCUUCCCUGCGGCAGGAGCCCCCUGGGAUCCCUUCCUUGUGCCAUGCUGAGCUCCAGCCCUGCAGCUGCACAACUGCCCCCCAGCCCUGGGGUCACUCUGGCCCCUCCACACCCCAAUGCCCGAGAGCUGCAGCAUCACCAGGGCCCUGCAGGGCCCCCGGGCAUCAGCUGCACCCUCAGCACAGCCAAAGGCAGGAACAGCAGCUUUUCAUCUUUGCUCAGGGAGUCACAACCUCCCAUCCCUGGCAGUGCUCAGGAUCAGACUUGGAGGAGGGAUUCCCUGCCCAUGGCAAAGGAGGAUUUUCAGGUCCCCUCCAACCCAAACCCAGGAUCCAACUCCUGAUCCUGUGAGUGCAAACAAUCCCAGUCCCACCUCCCUCCCUUCCUCCUCCCUGCACCCCUGUUCCCACUCACUGCAGUGAGUUUUAAGGGUUUUUUUUCCAUGCAGGAAACCCUUCCCAGGCAGCUUUCCCUGUGAGGAGCAGCCCAGGUUUGGAAGGGAGGAGGAAGGAAUAAAGAUGAUCAGGGCAUUUCUGACCAGGGAAUUUCUGACCAGGGCAUUUCUGACCAGGGCAUUUCUGACCAGGGAAUGUACCCACAGGCAGAGCUGCUGCUGCUCCUGCAGCUACUCUGUGGAACUGCUUUGCCCUCCAGUGCCCACACCCAGCAUUGACACCCUCAGGAAAGGCCCAGAGCUGCCCCAAACCAGAGCCUGCAGCACAGCUUUGCCCCCUGAUGUCAACAGAAGAGGAACAAAAGGUUUAAAGCAGGAGACUACAGACCCACCAAAGAAUUUUCUAUCAACAGAGCACACCUUUGUAAUAUUUAUCAACACUGUCACUUCUGCCUGUGGCCCAAGAGCCACAAGAAGGGAUUUUGGCAAUGGGCAGAGAGAAUCCAGAGCAGCAGCAGCUGGAACAGCCCCCCGGGCAAAGCAAACCCUGGCACCUCCACCCUGCUCCCAGGGGUGCUCCUGGCAGGGGCCUCAUUAA